GUGGCAGGCACCUGUAGUCCCACUGACUUGGAGGCUGAGGCAGGAGAAUCACCUGAACCUGGGAGGCAGAAGUUGUAGUAAGCCAAGAUUGUGCCACUGCAUUCCAGCCUGGGUGAAAGAGUGAGACUGUCAAAAAAAAAAUGGCCAAGGCAGGAGAACUGCCUUGAGCCCAGGAGUUCCAGACUAGCCUGGGCAGCAUAGUGAGAACCCGUCUCAGCAAAAAACAAAAACAAUGCCAUCUGGCCAUUGCUUUUCAAUUUGCAGAACAUUUCUGUACCCAUUGCCUCACAAUAAGCCUUUGAGGUAGGGUGGGUAUUGCUUGUUUUCCAGAGGUAAAACAGGCCCAGAAAGGUCAGGUGGCUUGCAAGAGGACAAGCCCCCAGUGAGUAGGGUGGUGCUAGCCCGGGGGUCUGCCUGGCUUCAGGAAAGGACGACCCUGGACUCCCAUGGCCCAGCUGGGUUUUCAAGGUUUCAAGGGUGGGCGGGAUUUGGAUGGGGCUCCAUCUGGGUGAGGAGAUGAUGGGAUGAAGGCCCUAGAGGUGGGCAUGAACUAGGUAGAUCUGGGACCAAAGAGAGAAGAGGCAGGAGGAGGUUGAGGUAGUGUGAGAUGAGCUGGGUGGGCUGGACUUGGGGCCUAAGGGCUACCCUGAGAAGUUGACCCCAGGAAGGAGGAAGGCUUAUAAACUGGGGUGGGGAGAAAGGAAUUGAGUGAAAUUGCUGCUCUGGGACUUGGUGCCCCCGUCCUACUCUGGGCAGCCCCUGCCUGCCUCUCCCCUAAGCCCCCUCCCCCACUAUCCCUCCCCCUGGACUGGACUGGGGUCGUCCUCCGGUCCCCAGGUAUCUGCGGGAUGGUGGCCAUCUCCUGGUACGCCUUCAACAUCACCCGGGACUUCUUCGACCCCUUGUACCCCGGAACCAAGUGAGUGAGGAAACCCCCCACCCCCCGCCCUCGGGGCAGCGGGUGGGACUCAGCCCUGCCCCCCGGCUGGCGUCUCACUUGUCCCCCGCCCCCGCGCCGCCCUUGUGCGCAGGUACGAGCUGGGCCCCGCCCUCUACCUGGGGUGGAGCGCCUCACUGAUCUCCAUCCUGGGUGGCCUCUGCCUCUGCUCCGCCUGCUGCUGCGGCUCUGACGAGGACCCAGCCGCCAGCGCCCGGCGGCCCUACCAGGCUCCAGUGUCCGUGAUGCCCGUCGCCACCUCGGACCAAGAAGGCGACAGCAGCUUUGGCAAAUACGGCAGAAACGCCUACGUGUAGCAGCUCUGGCCCGUGGGCCCCGCUGUCUUCCCACUGCCCCAAGGAGAGGGGACCUGGCCGGGGCCCAUUCCCCUAUAGUAACCUCAGGGGCCGGCCACGCCCCGCUCCCGUAGCCCCGCCCCGGCCACGGCCCCGUGUCUUGCACUCUCAUGGCCCCUCCAGGCCAAGAACUGCUCUUGGGAAGUCGCAUAUCUCCCCUCUGAGGCUGGAUCCCUCAUCUUCUGACCCUGGGUUCUGGGCUGUGAAGGGGACGGUGUCCCCGCACGUUUGUAUUGUGUAUAAAUACAUUCAUUAAUAAAUGCAUAUUGUGACCG
rnacentral:lncRNA from 1 species